rnacentral:rRNA from 1 species
AGGAAAAGAAACUAACAAGGAUUCCCCUAGUAACUGCGAGUGAAGCGGGAAAAGCUCAAAUUUAAAAUCUGGCAGUCUUUGAUUGUCCGAGUUGUAAACUAGAGAAGUGUUAUCUGUGCUGGACCGUGUAAAAGUCUCCUGGAAUGGAGCAUCAUAGAGGGUGAGAAUCCCGUCUUUGACAUGGACUACCAGUGCUUUGUGAUGCGCUCUCAAAGAGUCGAGUUGUUUGGGAAUGCAGCUCAAAAUGGGUGGUAAAUUCCAUCUAAAGCUAAAUAUUGGCGAGAGACCGAUAGCGAACAAGUACCGUGAGGGAAAGAUGAAAAGAACUUUGGAAAGAGAGUUAAACAGUACGUGAAAUUGCUGAAAGGGAAACGCUUGAAGUCAGUCGCGUCGGCCAGGAAUCAACCUUGCUUUUGCUGGGCGUACUUUCUGGUUGACGGGUCAGCAUCAAUUUUGACUGCUGGAAAAAGUUCAAGGGAAUGUGGCAUCUUCGGAUGUGUUAUAGCCCUUGUUCGCAUACAGCAGUUGGGAUUGAGGUACUCAGCACGCCGCAAGGCCGGGUUUCGACCACGUUCGUGCUUAGGAUGCUGGCAUAAUGGCUUUAAUCGACCCGUCUUGAAACACGGACCAAGGAGUCUAACAUGCCUGCGAGUGUUUGGGUGGAAAACCCAAGCGCGCAAUGAAAGUAAAAGUUGAGAUCCCUGUCAUGGGGAGCAUCGACGCCCGGACCAGAGCUUUUGUGACGGAUCUCCGGUAGAGCAUGUAUGUUGGGACCCGAAAGAUGGUGAACUAUGCCUGAAUAGGGUGAAGCCAGAGGAAACUCUGGUGGAGGCUCGUAGCGAUUCUGACGUGCAAAUCGAUCGUCAAAUUUGGGUAUAGGGGCGAAAGACUAAUCGAACCAUCUAGUAGCUGGUCCUUGCCGAAGUUUCCCUCAGGA